UGGCCUAUGGUGUAAUGGUAACACAUCUGGUUUUGGUCCAGACGUUUGAGGUUCGAGUCCUUAUAGGCCAGCCA
rnacentral:tRNA from 1 species